AGACCCGAAACCCGGUGAUCUAGCCAUGGGCAGGUUGAAGGUUGGGUAACACUAACUGGAGGACCGAACCGACUAAUGUUGAAAAAUUAGCGGAUGACCUGUGGCUGGGGGUGAAAGGCCAAUCAAACCGGGAGAUAGCUGGUUCUCCCCGAAAGCUAUUUAGGUAGCGCCUCGUGAAUUCAUCUCCGGGGGUAGAGCACUGUUUCGGCUAGGGGGCCAUCCCGGCUUACCAACCCGAUGCAAACUGCGAAUACCGGAGAAUGUUAUCACGGGAGACACACGGCGGGUGCUAACGUCCGUCGUGAAGAGGGAAACAACCCAGACCGCCAGCUAAGGUCCCAAAGUCAUGGUUAAGUGGGAAACGAUGUGGGAAGGCCCAGACAGCCAGGAUGUUGGCUUAGAAGCAGCCAUCAUUUAAAGAAAGCGUAAUAGCUCACUGGUCGAGUCGGCCUGCGCGGAAGAUGUAACGGGGCUAAACCAUGCACCGAAGCUGCGGCAGCGAACGUAUCACCCAAGACAACUUUACGGAGUUGACGAUUGACGGAGCGAAGCGACGUCAAAGCGUUCAUUAAAGUCGAGUUGGCUUAGGGAUACGUUCGUUGGGUAGGGGAGCGUUCUGUAAGCCUGUGAAGGUGGCCUGUGAGGGUUGCUGGAGGUAUCAGAAGUGCGAAUGCUGACAUAAGUAACGAUAAAGCGGGUGAAA
rnacentral:rRNA from 1 species